rnacentral:tRNA from 1 species
AAGAUGCUAGUAAAACAGACAUAACACUGCUUUGUCAAAGCAGAAUUACGAGUUAAAACCCCGUGCAUCUUA